rnacentral:tRNA from 1 species
AAGGAAUUAGUUUAAUUAAAACAAAAGAAUGUCAAUCUACAAUUAUUACAAUUUAAGUAAUAUUCCUUG